rnacentral:rRNA from 1 species
CGUAGGGUGCAAGCGUUAAUCGGAAUUACUGGGCGUAAAGCGUGCGCAGGCGGCUAUGCAAGACAGAUGUGAAAUCCCCGGGCUCAACCUGGGAACUGCAUUUGUGACUGCAUGGCUAGAGUACGGUAGAGGGGGAUGGAAUUCCGCGUGUGGCAGUGAAAUGCGUAGAUAUGCGGAGGAACACCGAUGGCGAAGGCAAUCCCCUGGACCUGUACUGACGCUCAUGCACGAAAGCGUGGGGAGCAAACAGGAUUAGAUACCCUGGUAGUCCACGCCCUAAACGAUGUCAACUGGUUGUUGGACGGCUUGCUGUUCAGUAACGAAGCUAACGCGUGAAGUUGACCGCCUGGGGAGUACGGCCGCAAGGUUG